UUUCUCUCCAUGCUGCUCAUCCGAGUCCCAGCUGCUUGCACUGUAGUCCCCAGGGCCACCGCCAAACCAUCUGGGACUGGGGAGAAACGUCACCCUCAAGCCCCUCUCUGGAAUUGUUUCUUAGCCGCCUCCCCGAUACGGUGUGCACGUGGGAUUCUGGGCCCUUCGUUCUUUCUAGUGGCAUAAUUUAUGUGACUGAUGGAUAUUAACCACACCAGGAAUGGCUCAGCCAGGAGCUGGGGUUCGGAUUUUCCCUCCAUGGAGCCCAGAUAGCAGCAGCCUGCAGCAAAGUCAGAGGUGCUGUUCCCAUUUGCUGCAAAGAUUACCUAGAUGCCCUUGAAUUAUGGGGAACAAGAGCUUGGACACGUGCACACUGUACCUUCUUGGUAGGUUACACCUCUUCGGUAAGUUCUAGAAGAUUUCCCAUUACUUGUUAUUACUUUUUUUUAGCUCAAAAAAAUUUUUUUUGAAGCUGGCACGAGUAUUUCA